CGCUAGUUGACAAUAAACUCACUUUGCGUUGCUCGAAUGUUAGUGCAUUAAAUAUGGAAACAGUGUAUCGGAUAUGUAGUUUUUUCAUGUUACGCACUACGCGUUUCGAGAAUUUAAAGUAGAAUAUUUACCUGCUGAGAUCCUGCAUCAAGAGGUUCAGUGAGGACAAGAAUAACUAAUGCUGUAUCUGCAGGAGUGUUCCUGCAUCAACAUUGUCACAAUCAAGACUAAACACAGUGGAAUUAAUGUAAAGUUAAUGACUCAGACUUGAUAGGUACCUAUUGAACUUGGUUUACUUAUACUAAAAAUAUUAUGCUUCUUAUAAACAGAUUGACAAUUUCAAUGGCUGCGGUGAUUAUUUAGUAGUGCGCACUACUGGAAGUGGCAAUACAUAAUGCAAAUUAUGUUUAUUGACCCUGAAUGUAAUGAUACUCAAGAUCUGUUGAUACUGUUACCAGAUUAAGUUCACCCAAGAUUGUGCACAGAUUCAUAAAUUAUUUUCAAAAGUU